AUCUAUAGCCAUACCACCCUGAAAGUGCCCUAUCUUGUCUGAUCUUGGAAGUUAAACAGGGUCAGGCCUGGUUAGUACUUGGAUGGGAGAAAACAAUUCUAGUCU
rnacentral:rRNA from 1 species